AUUGAACGCUGGCGGCAUGCCUUACACAUGCAAGUCGAACGGCAGCACGGGAGCAAUCCUGGUGGCGAGUGGCGAACGGGUGAGUAAUAUAUCGGAACGUGCCCAGUCGUGGGGGAUAACGUAGCGAAAGCUACGCUAAUACCGCAUACGAUCUAUGGAUGAAAGCGGGGGAUCGCAAGACCUCGCGCGAUUGGAGCGGCCGAUAUCAGAUUAGGUAGUUGGUGAGGUAAAGGCUCACCAAGGCGACGAUCUGUAGCGGGUCUGAGAGGAUGAUCCGCCACACUGGAACUGAGACACGGUCCAGACUCCUACGGGAGGCAGCAGUGGGGAAUUUUGGACAAUGGGCGCAAGCCUGAUCCAGCCAUGCCGCGUGAGUGAAG
rnacentral:rRNA from 1 species